AUAGCGUAUAUUUAAGUUGUUGCAGUUAAAAAGCUCGUUGUUGGACUUUGGGUUGGGUCGGCCGGUCCGCCUCACGUUGUGCACAGGUCGGCUCGUCCCUUCUGUCGGCGAUACGCUCCUGGACUUAACUGGCCGGGUCGUGCCUCCGGCGCUGUUACUUUGAUGAAAUUAGAGUGCUCAAAGCAAGCCUACGCUCUGUAUACAUUAGCAUGGGAUAACAUCAUAGGAUUUCGGUCCUAUUACGUUGGCCUUCGGGAUCGGAGUAAUGAUUAACAGGGACAGUCGGAGGCAUUCGUAUAUCAUAGUCAGAGGUGAAAUACUUGGAUUUAUGAAAGACGAACAACUG
rnacentral:rRNA from 1 species